AUUGAACGCUGGCGGCAGGCCUAACACAUGCAAGUCGAGCGAGUGGCGGGUAGGUGAGACAUGCCUGGGUAUUGCCCAGUCUAGGGUGAUAACAGUUGGAAUCGACUGCUAAUCCCGCAUACGAUUGUAUUCCCCAGGUGUGAUUAGCGAGUUUGUGGGGUAAAGGCUCACCAAGGCGACGAUCCCUAGCUGGUCUGAGAGGAGGAUAAGCCAAACUGGAACUGAGACACGGUCCAGACUCCUACGGGAGGCAGCAGUGGGGAAUAUUGCACAAGUGGGGAAACCCUGAUGCAGCCAUGCCGCGUGUGUGAAGAAGGCCUUCGGGUUGUAAAGUACUUUCAGCGAGGAGGCGUUACUCGCAGAAGAAGCACCGGCUAACUCCGUGCCAGCAGCCGCGGUAAUUC
rnacentral:rRNA from 1 species